rnacentral:rRNA from 1 species
UACAGAGGUCCCGAGCGUUGUUCGGAUUCACUGGGCGUAAAGGGUGCGUAGGCGGUCGCGCAAGUCGGAUGUGAAAUCUCGGGGCUCAACCCCAAAACUGCAUUCGAUACUGCGUGGCUCGAGUACUGGAGAGGAGACUGGAAUUUACGGUGUAGCAGUGAAAUGCGUAGAUAUCGUAAGGAAGACCAGUGGCGAAGGCGAGUCUCUGGACAGUUACUGACGCUGAGGCACGAAGGCCAGGGGAGCAAACGGG